rnacentral:rRNA from 1 species
UAAAUGAGUUGAAGUUUUCGGAUGGAUUCUUAUUUACCGAGUGGCGGACGGGUGAGUAACGCGUGGGUAACCUGCCUCAUACAGGGGGAUAACGAUUGGAAACGAUUGCUAAUACCACAUAAGCGCACAGUACCGCAUGGUACAGUGUGAAAAACUCCGGUGGUAUGAGAUGGACCCGCGUCUGAUUAGCUAGUUGGUGGGGUAACGGCCUACCAAGGCGACGAUCAGUAGCCGACCUGAGAGGGUGACCGGCCACAUUGGGACUGAGACACGGCCCAAACUCC